rnacentral:rRNA from 1 species
UGAGGAAUAUUGGGCAAUGGGCGAAAGCCUGACCCAGCCACGCCGCGUGUGUGAUGAAGGCCUUCGGGUCGUAAAGCACUGUGGGGAGAGACGAAACAGCGCAGUAGGAAAUGACUGCGCCUUGACGGUACCUCCUUAGCAAGCACCGGCUAACUCUGUG